GGGGGGGGGGGGGGGGGGGGGGGGGGGGGGGGGGGGGGGGGGGGGGGGGGGGGGGGGGGGGGGGGCUCGGGGGGCGGGCGGGUGGGGAACACGUGGGUAGCCGGCCCGUGACGGUGGGAUGACUUGAGGGAACUGGGGCGAAUGCCGGAUAGGAGCUCCUGCUGCAUGGUGGGGGUUGGAAAGUUUCGGCGGUUGGGGAUGGACUCGCGGCUUAUCAGCUUGUUGGUGGGGUAGUGGCUUACCAAAGCUGUGAGGGGUAGCCGGCCUGAGAGGGUGACCGGCCACAUUGGGACUGAGAUACGGCCCAGACUCCUACGGGAGGCAGCAGUGGGGAAUAUUGCACAAUGGGCGGAAGCCUGAUGCAGCAACGCCGCGUGCGGGAUGACGGCCUUCGGGUUGUAAACCGCUUUCGCCUGUGACGAAGCGUGAGUGACGGUAAUGGGUAAAGAAGCACCGGCUAACUACGUG
rnacentral:rRNA from 1 species